AUUGAACGCUGGCGGCAGGCCUAACACAUGCAAGUCGAACGAGUGGCGGACGGGUGAGUAAUGUCUGUGAAACUGCCUGAUGGAGGGGGAUAACUACUGGAACCGGUACCUAAUACCGCAUACCAUCAGAUGUGCCCCGAUGGGGUUAGCUUGUUGGUGGGGUAACGGCUCACCAAGGCGACGAUCCCUAGCUGGUCUGAGAGGAUGACCAGCCAAACUGGACCGGGGAAACGGUCCAGACUCCUAAGGGAGGAAGCAGAGGGGAAUAUUGCACAAGGGGGGAAAGCCUGAUGCAGCAAUGCCGCGUGUAUGAAGAAGGCCUUCGGGUGGUAAAGUACGUGCAGCGGGGAGGCGUUACCCGCAGAAGAAGCACCGGCUAACUCCGUGCCAGCAGCCGAGGUAAUAC
rnacentral:rRNA from 1 species